AUCCAGCUGACAGGUCCCAAAGAGGACGAAACGCGCUUCCUGGAU
rnacentral:hammerhead_ribozyme from 1 species